UUCCACUGCCCUUGAUUAAUUAUUGGCUCCUUCGUGUAACAAAACUGUUAUGAAUUGUGCCAUUGUGGAUAGCCUAUCUUCUCAUUUUAAUUUUAUUAAAAAUCUCGGAUAAAACAGACGAGAGAACCAUUCUUUCUCUUUUACCCUUUCCUUUUUUUUUUUGUCUUUGAAAGAGGAGAACCAUUCACGUCUGAAUUUUAUCUGUUUUCUUACUUUUGUUGCGGCAGGUUAAUGUUGUUCCUUGUUUGUUUUGACUAAGAACUCGAGUGUUUCAACUCACUGUUUUUCUUUAUAUGUGACUUAACCUACUCAACAUUUCUUGACUGUUUUUAUUUACAUGUGAAUCGGAUCUUUAUUUUCUUUCUUCUGAUUUGAUCUGAUCUCAUACAACUUUUCUUUUGUUCUUUAUCUGUUGAAUUUGAAGGAUAUUGAAAACUGGACACCCUGAACCACAUCUUCCAUGGAUCAGUUGCAAGUUAAGACAAAGGUUUCUCUAAUGGAAGCGUACAUGACAAGUAAACUCUUAAGGCAAUAGCUAAGGAUUGGUCCGUCGGAAGGG